ACCCCCCCCCCCCCAAGUGAACGGGUACAACUUAUUGGCAGCCUGCCAUUAUCAGCGUCGGUACAUGUUCGUGUGCAUUAUGACAAAAAGAUCAUGUCUGUUUUUAAAAGUAAAUAAUGGAAACAUGGGUAGAAUCGUUUUCUGUUUGGUCAUAAGUGGCCAUUGCAGGUAGGCUUAGACAUAAUGCAUUGGAAUGUUUCACUUCAGUAACGAAUGGGCUUGGCCCAGUGUUUCCGUACCCCUGUUCACUUAGAAAAGAGUUGCAGCGUUCAAUCCGUUCAUCAAAGAAAGUGAUGAUCUAAAAGUUGAGACAGACUGGAUGAGCUAGGCCGCUUUGUCAGGACGAAAAUGAACCCUCCAAGGCUCCAACAGCCUCAUCACACAGAAACUCGAGGAACCGGAAGCAGGGAGGAGGACCGACAGAUGAACGGAUGACCUGCUUGCAGGGCUUCCCAUUACUGAUUCUUGAGAAAAAUGAUGACCACUGAAUGAUGAGUGAAUUGCUCUACUGAGAUGAUGAUGAUCCUGCCUCAAGACGUCGUCAGGGCUCCAACAGCCUCAUCAAACAGAAACCCGAGGAACCGGAAGCAGGGAGGAGGACCGACAGAUGAACGGAUGACCUGCUUGCAGGGCUUCCCAUGACUGAUUCUUGGGACAUGAGGACCACUGACUGAUGAGGGGGUUGCCUUGCUGAGAUGGAUGAGCCUGCCUCAAGCUGCCAUAAGGUGGGAGGACCGACGGUUGACUGACUCUGCCUGCUGGGCUGGCCAUUACCGAUUCUUAAGAAGACGAGGACUACCAAGCUUGGAUGAGACUGGACAAUGACGAAGCUGCUCUAUCUGGACAAGGAUGCCCUCAUCGGACACUUUCCAAUCUGCGUAAAUAUUGGAUCAGAAAUCAGACUGCAUAUUUUGCAAUAUUAUUAGUUUGAAAUAACAUACAAACGACGAAAAUACGAUUUAUUACUCCAAAUUUACAGCGAUAUUGGAAGUAAUAAUAUUAGUGUUAUUUGAUACCUUUACUGAGAUACCUAUACCUGAAAUAUUUGACUACGAAUGUGACGAACAAUGAAAACAAAAAUCAAAUCGGUCGAAAAAUAAAUUACAGCGAAAAUAAAAUGGUAGAUUUUCUUUUCGUAAAAAUACUACUCCGCUUCCUACAAGACUAGUGGCCGAAAAAAUGACGAAAAGUACACCAAGAAUCAAAGUGGCAAAUAUACCCUAAGUAAAAUGACGGAACGUGCGGCGUAAAAAAUCACAGCGUUCGUGAGUGAAAUAAUACUGAACAGCAGUGUUAUUUUUCUUAUCUUUAAAGUAAAAAAAAAAUCGGUUA